rnacentral:lncRNA from 1 species
UGAAUCCCAUUCUUUGUUUGAUCAAUGUGGAACGUGGUGAAUUCCAUCAUCCCUCCGAUGCCUCAAUCUCCUCACUGGGGAUCCAUUCAUCCCAACUCCUAAUCCUUCAAAAGCUGGUGAACUCCUAAUCCUUCAAAAACCUAAGGACCAUCUUUCAAGUCUGUUCCUUUGUAGAGCCUUACCUGAUUAUCGUAGGACUCAUCACUCCUGCCUCUGACUUCUACAAACUUCAUUUAAACCUCUAGAUAAUUACGUAUAGCCCAAUCAUUUCUUCAUGUGCCUCUUUCCCC